UGGCUUGGUGCCCGAAAGGGAAUUCGGAACACAGUGCUGCAUGGCUGUCGUCAGCUCGUGUCGUGAGAUGUUGGGUUAAGUCCCGCAACGAGCGCAACCCUUAUCAUUAGUUGCUACGCAAGGGCACUCUAAUGAGACUGCCGGUGACAACCGGAGGAAGUGGGGAUGACGUCAAGUCCUCAUGGCCCUUAUGGGUAGGGCUUCACACGUCAUACAAUGGUCGGUACAGAGGGUUGCCAAGCCGCGAGGCGGAGCCAAUCCCACAAAGCCGAUCGUAGUCCGGAUUGUUCUCUGCAACUCGAGAGCAUGAAGUCGGAAUCGCUAGUAAUCGCGGGUCAGCAUACUGCGGUGAAUACGUUCCCGGGUCUU
rnacentral:rRNA from 1 species